rnacentral:lncRNA from 1 species
AAUGACGGAUAUGGGGAGUCAUGAUUUAGUUCAUUUUUAAAUCUAGAACUCUAAUACCAUAUACUUCUUUAAAAGUACUUAUCCUCGAAAUUGUUAGCUUGAUUGAACAUCAUCUCACAUAAAUCAUUUAUCAACACCCCGAAUAAGACAAUUCCAUAGAAAUCAUGGUAGAAACAAGGAAACACACAAUUUUGGGGCAGCGAUGAAUAUAGGGAGCAAUCAUGAUCCAAUUCAUUUGCAGAUCUACAACACCGAUAUCAUAUACUUGUUAUAUUAUAAGAUGAAUCAGUCUAUGUUUUUUAUAUACGGCCCAAUAUUGAUGAGAUUCUAUACAAUCUACCCAACUUAUUUAAUCAUCAUGAAUCCGUCAUUUAUGAGGGAAAAUCAACUAUUUAGAGGAGGUGGUAAGGCUUGAUUAUUUGACUUCCUUUAGUUAACCAUGGGUGGUGGAGGAGCCCUUGUUGGCAAACUUCUCUUUGAGCUCCACUUAAUGAAGGCCCAAGAAAUCACUGUAUGAUCUUCACUCUUUCUAUGCAUCUUUCUUCUGCCAUUUGCUUCACUCCGUCUUGAAAUUUGCAUUGAAGUCUUCUCCUUAUUAUUGUAACCUAUGAACAAGAGGGAAGCCAACAUAUCAGUGCUCAUGACUGCUCAUCACCAAUGUUAACCGGGACCACGAUAUGAAAUUUCGGACAGAAUUUCAAAUUUAAAGGUCAACUCAUAUAGAAAACAAUUCGACACAAACUUCUACUUUAGGAAUUUAACAAAUUGUUACAUCUAAUCUCACUUGAGAUGGAAAACCCCGAAUGAUGGUCUAGGUACGUCCAUCCCAAACUCCACCAUUCGUUCUCCAUGUACUACAAGAAUAUGUAAAUUUAGGAACCCAAAACCCAUACAACGGUUACUAAUAGUCCCAGACAGUCACUAGUGACCUUUAGUAACCAUUUGAAGACCAUAAAACGGUCGCCAAAGUAAAACUGUACUAUUAGGAACAAAAUGGUCAUCAAUAAUAUUUAGUAACAAGAAGGUCAGUUACAGUUUAGGAACGGGACGUACUGUCCCCAAAAUCUCAACAAUUGUGACUAAUAAUCCAAAAUGAUUACCAUUACAAAACUUUUUGUGACCAGUGGAAUGAAAUGGUGAAUACUGAACUCGGAACACGUUAUCUAUCUGAACGGAUCGGGUUAGGGAUAAAUGUCAGAAACGAUGACCGGUGUUCGAUUCAUUCACAACUCAAAAAGGGUCUAGAUAAACGGAACAGGUCGGAUCGAAAUUGUCUUACUGUAGGGGCGAAGGGCGAAGGAUGAAUGGAUUUCGGCAGCAAGAAGAUGCAAUAGCAUCAGGAGUACUAUUGCAACCAGCUUCUUCCCCAUAGGAAAUGUCACCAUAGAAAGCUUGAAGAGAAGAAGUGAUCCUGAAAUGCCUUUGAAUUAUUGCUAACUACUAGUAGCUUUUAUAUAUAGUUUCAGCUUACCUAGAGUUGGCUUUUAAGCUUUGGUUAG